UGGCUCAGUUGGUAGAGCUUGGCGCUUCCAAUGCUAGGGUUGUGGGUUUGAUUCCCAC
rnacentral:tRNA from 1 species